CCAAGGGCAUGGCAGCAGCAUCUGGUGGGGUUCUGUGCUACAUUACCCCAUGGUGGAAGGGCAGAGGGCAGAGGGCAGAAGAGGAAAGGCAGAAGAGAAAGACAGCAUGGGAGACAGCAAGAAAAUGGAGGCCAAAACUUAUCCUUUUAUCAGGAAUCCACUCCCACAAGAUUGCACAGAGUUCUUGAUAUUGAAGAGUGAACCAUGUUCAAGGAAGAAGAGAUCACCCCAUAAAACCCUUCCAGCUUGUGUUACAAUCAGAUGCCUCUAAGAUGGACAAAAAAGGCACACAGAGAUAUUCCCUACUCAGGCUCUGGUCAAAUCUCUCUCCACUUAAUGGAGCAUGGCUUUCAACUGCACCUGGAGCAUGUUUGUAAACAAUGCCAUCAGGAAUAAAAGUGUUUGAAGCUGAAGCUGGGUCUUCCAUCCAAAUGUGGAAAGCGUGCCAGAGGACUGUCUUUCCCAUUCCCGCCCCACCUGCACAGCCAUAGACAAAGCUCAGCUCCGGGAUAAGAGGAAAAAGCACUGCCUGGACCUGUCCACCAGCAAGCGGACAUUGCUUUGCAUAAACAGGCAGAGGGGCAGGCACCUCAAGGGACUCGCAGAAGUGCCUGGGUAUUUUUAAAUACUUGAGGAGAACACAAGGAUGCCUGUCGGACAUCUCAGGAACUGCUAGCUCCAGGUAAAUUGGUUUUAACAUUAGGUUGCUAAAUUUCCUUCCAUGAUGUCAUAUCUUUGCAAAGCUUGGUUUUUGGUGACUGUUGUGAUAGUUGUGGGGGAAAAAGUGAUAUGUCCUAUCUAAUUCCAAGGUUUUACAUAUUGCUAGUGCCCAA
rnacentral:lncRNA from 1 species